rnacentral:piRNA from 1 species
UUCUGCGAAACCCCAUAUUCUUGGGAGGAU